rnacentral:rRNA from 1 species
AUGGCCGCAGUAUUUUGACUGUGCAAAGGUAGCAUAAUCAUUAGUUUUUUAAUUAAAAGCUUGUAUGAAAGGCUGGACGAGGUAAAAUCUGUCUCUAUCUAAAUUAUAGUAGAAUUUAACUUUUAAGUUAAAAGGCUUAAAUAUUAUUAAAAGACGAGAAGACCCUAUAGAUCUUUAUAGCUUAUUAAAUUAAAUUAAUUUAGAAAUAUUAAUGUUUUAUUUAACUAAGGUAUUUUAUUGGGGUAAUAAAAAGAUUAAAUAAAUUCUUUUUUAUAAUAAACAUUAAUUUAUGAAUAUUAAUGAUCCAGUUUUACUGAUUAUAAGAUUAAGUUACCUUAGGGAUAACAGCGUAAUUUUUUUAGAGAGUUCAUAUCGAUAAAAAAGUUUGCGACCUCGAUGUUGGAUUAAAGAUUAUUUUAGGUGUAGAAGCUUAAUAAUUUUGGUCUGUUCGACCAUUAAAUCUUUACAUGAUCUGAGUUCAGACCGGCGUAAGCCAGGUCGGUUUCUAUCUUUAAUAAAAUAAAAUAUUUUAGUACGAAAGGACCAAAUAUUUAAUAUAUUUAUAUUUAAUUUAUUGAAUAUUA